rnacentral:lncRNA from 1 species
GGCGGAGCCGGAUGAGCCCCGCCCCCAGUUAGUGUUAACUGCCUGUAAAUGCUGGGGAGGCUUGUGAGCCUCUCCCUACCAGCAACUGUUAACUGUCUACAAAUCCUUGGUUAUGGGCCAGGCAUCAGGAGGAAGUCAGCAAGAUCACACGAUUUAGUAGUACUGAGAAAGAAAACUUGAGGUGAAGAAGUAGGCAUCAGUUUUGGAGGAUGGUAGACCACCACUUUAUUAUUCUGAAAACAUAGAUAACAAGAAAGAAUAAAGACUUUAUCCCUGCUUUUUCCCGUAAAACCUGAUUUCAAGGUAAGCAAGUUGCAAGCGAAGCCUUCAGUUUCGGUGUUUUUGUUCCUGUUGCCUUCAUUCUCAGCGAUCAGCUUCCUGGUUUAAAGCUUGAUUCGCGUAGCUCUUUUCUCAUUGUUUUUAUCUCAUUGUGAGCAUAAUUGCCUGUUAUCAUUCAUAAUUAUUUUAAAUCCUGUGAUGGUUGGUGUGGAAAUUUGGCUGGUCUCUUGAGUUCGUCUGGAUUGUGUUUCCUUCUGACAAAGAUUUCUAUCAAAAGUUUGUUUGGAUUUCAGCCAUGUUUCUGAAUGUGGGGGAGGGGAGUCUGGUUGACUCCAGCGCCUCAUCAGUGGGUGUCAGAGAUGUGCUAGAAAGCUCUGACGCUGCCCCUAUUGUCUUUCUUGGACUGGCUUGCACAUCUGUAUCCAGAAAGGGUCUUAGAGGCUUCGUUCUGUAGUUCUAGUGGUAGAGUGCUGUGCAUGAUCUACUUGGAGAUGUUGAGGUUUGCAGUGGUGGGAACUGAGUCCUUGCUGUUGUCCUGGGUCAGGGUUGGGUUUGUGCAGGCUGUGUUUUUCUCUUUCCUUGUAAUCUGCUUCUUCUUUAGACUUAGGACUCUAGUCUUCCUUUGCAGAAAAGUAGUUUCCCUCAGCACUAGAUACUGUGAAUAAUUUUGGAGGAAUUUAAUUAGAAAUGCUUUUAUAUUCAGUAUGAAAACUAAUGAGGUCAGGGUCUUUGACCACAACUACAUGAACCUUUUCA